rnacentral:lncRNA from 11 species
AGCUUUAAACAAGGGGGCUGGGAUCAAGACAGUAGUCAGAGCCAAGCCUACUUUGCUUCAACAAGGUUGUUCCAUCAUGCAUCUUCAGGACAUAGCCCUUGGUGUGAACUGAAGACUACAGAGCAGAGGAUCAAAACAUAAAUGUGCUAAUAAAUCUUCCUUCACUUCAUGAGACAAAGGAAAUCUCACCCAUGGACCUGAGGACUGCAGAGGAAAACAGAGGAGUUGGCAUAAUGAUGGCUCAGUUUCUGAAUACGCCUAUCAUAUCCAGAAUCUCAUGGAAUUGUUGCUGCUUUGAGAAGAAGGUUUGAACAAGCUGAAGUGACAAGAAACUAUUACAAUGGCAAGUCAAUCCUCAAAGGUGCAAUUCACCUAUUAGCUGGAUCUUGCUUGGAUGAGAUUUGAAAGACACUUUGCUCACUUGAUUGCUCAAAGGAGAAUAUUUUCUCUGGUCAGGUCAGAACACAGCUAAUGGUAGAUACUGCAGUGUUUAAUUUUAAAUACUUCUCCAGUCUCAUGGCAGACCUUUGAACAGAAGUCUGUUUGGAAGCAGUGUGUGGCAGUGAGCAACUCUUUCUCACCCCUAUUCUUAGGUGGCACCAAAAUGGACCCUUGAUUUGAUCCCUUCAUAAAUUUCAACCAUCCUGUACCUAUAUCCAUGUUUCAUUGCAGAAUGUGACUGGCUUUUACAGUGUUUGUAUAUGCAGUAGAAAAAUAAACAAC